rnacentral:lncRNA from 1 species
UUAUAAAACACACACACACACACACACACAUUUAUAUAUAUAUAUAUAUAUAUAUAUUGUCAUCCUAUUCUAUUGGUUUGCGUAUGAAUGAAGGGCAAUAAAGUGUGGUUUAUCUUUUAGUAAUAUUUUUCGAGAUAUUGCAUGUAUUCCAAUGUGAUGGAUUUUUGUCUUUUUUUGGGUAGCUUGUGAAGAUUCACGACUUUUCAUGUUUUUAUAGAUAUUAAUACUUCACGAGUGUAUUCAAACCUCAUCCUGAACUUUGGAGAUACUAUUAUUUGGGAGUGUGUGGACGUGUGUGUGCGCUUUGCUGAAAUUACGUUGACAAAUCCUGUAUUUUUAUUUUAUUUUAUUUUUUUCUCUUUUUCACUUCUUCAAAAUGUGGGAUAUAAAGUCAGGUAUUGGUAUAGUUAUAACAAAUAAAAUAAAUACAAGAGCAAGAAUAUGUGUCCAAAUUGGUUUUUUGAAUACCAAUAGUUGUGUUUAUAGUAUUGCAUGCAUCCCUGUUGAGAUGAUUGCCAAUGUAUAUAUAAUUUGAAAACAAGAACACAC